AGUUUGCAGAAAAACACAAAGAGGCUACAGAGAUUACUAUCACCACCUAUUCCGCCGCUAGAGUUUGUGUGCGUGUUUAAGUGUUUUCGCCCAGCGCCUCCUUCCCUGGCUACAAACAGCAAACACAGGAGAGCGCUAAAAGGCUCUCUCACUGAAAAACCCUUCGAAGCAGCCGAAGGAUUAAGAGAGUAUCUGCGGGGCGGCAGGAGGGUGGAAUAAAAGUUGCUCUGCAGCCCGCUCCUCCGAGCCCGCAGCGACCGCAGGGGUGAGACUCCCAAAGCCACUUCCACACCUCGGACGGCGCAAGCAAGAGCGGCGGGCAGAGGCUGAGAUUCCAGAGGGCUCCGCAGGGAGACGCGCGGCGGGGAGGGCUGGGCUCGCUACCUCUGCACACGGGCGAGCCGGGGCUCCGUCUCUCAGACAUCACCAGACGAGCACCCAGACCUUGCAUCUCCAGAACCAUGAGCCAAAAUAACCCUCUUCAUAAGUUACUUGUCUCAGAUAACAUGUGUAUUUGGGACUGAAGAAGACAAGAAAAUGUGGAAAAGAGAUAUAAGAGACUAGAAGUGGUUCAAUAAAGCAGCAUUAUUCACUGUUAAGGAAAACUAUUUCUUCCAAAGGAGAUAUGACAUCACUCUAAUUUGGAAACAGCACAGUAUCUGCCAACAUGAGGCAGACUAGGUAAAAAGAGGACAGAUUUCCACUUCGGAAGAUUUGUCAAAGAACAGGUAUCUCAGGCUAAUGAAAGAACAUAUUUGGACCUGUAAGAUAAAAAGAGGCUCCAGGAGGGCUGCAUUUUAUGGUGGAUGGACUUUCCAGGCAAGGAAGAAGGCCAUCUAAAUGGUGAGGGACAAACCAGUGGCAGGCCCAGGGUUCACUUUCCUCAUCAAUAAAAUCAGAACCUAGUCCAGCGGAAAAUAUAGUAGUCACAAAUUGGAAUGAGCUUAUAUUCCCCAACCCUGGUGAAUUUUUAAAGCUAAAUUAUGUGACUAACUGGAAGCUUUAAAAUAAAAAGAAAGAAUCCAGCCUGACUUCUUGCAGUAAAAAUGAGAAUUCUGUUGUCACCAAGGACAAAUUGCAAGAAGAUGAAGACAUCUGAGAUCACAUGGAUAGCAUUUCCACUCUGAGACUGCAGUGUAAGGUCCAGAAAAAGAAUAUUCUUUACAGAGACAUAUAUGUUAAAAUAAGAACAUUUGGCCUUAAUUUUAAUCCAGAAGUAAGUAGAUGAAUUAAAUGUCAAUGAUGUCCAUUUUAACUUGAACUCCUCUGUACAUAAUCUAAUAUAUUGAAAGUACUAAAAUUCCGCUCAUAGUACAUGACUGAAUAUUCUCUAUACAGUGUGUAGGCGUUAAGUAAAUGCCAUAGUGCAUUUAUCAUAAGAUAGUUUUUCACAUUUUAACAUCUCUGAAAUGUGAAUAAAACUUAAAAUAAAUGGCAUGUCAUGGUUUAA